rnacentral:rRNA from 1 species
UGAUCAGCCACACUGGAACUGAGACACGGUCCAUACUCCUACGGGAGGCAGCAGUGGGGAAUUUUGGACAAUGGGGGCAACCCUGAUCCAGCCAUGCCGCGUGCGGGAAGAAGGCCUUCGGGUUGUAAACCGCUUUCAUACGAGACGAAAUGGUGCAGGCCAAUACCCUGUAUUGAUGACGGUACCGUAAGAAGAAGCACCGGCUAACUACGUGCCAGCAGCCGCGGUAAUACGUAGGGUGCGAGCGUUAAUCGGAGUUACUGGGCGUAAAGCGUGCGCAGGCGGCUCUUUAAGACAGGUGUGAAAUCCCCGGGCUUAACCUGGGAAUUGCGCUUGUGACUGGGGAGCUCGAGUGCGGCAGAGGGGGAUGGAAUUCCUGGUGUAGCAGUGAAAUGCGUAGAUAUCAGGAGGAACACCGAUGGCGAAGGCAGUCCCCUGGGUCGACACUGACGCUCAUGCACGAAAGCGUGGGGAGCAAACAGGAUUAGAUACCCUGGUAGUCCACGCCCUAAACGAUGUCAACUGGUUGUUGGGGAAGGAGACUUCCUUAGUAACGUAGCUAACGCGUGAAGUUGACCGCCUGGGGAGUACGGCCGCAAGGUUAAAACUCAAAGGAAUUGACGGGGACCCGCACAAGCGGUGGAUGAUGUGGAUUAAUUCGAUGCAACGCGAAAAACCUUACCUACCCUUGACAUGCCAGGAACUUGUAAGAGAUUACUUGGUGCCCGAAAGGGAGCCUGGACACAGGUGCUGCAUGGCUGUCGUCAGCUCGUGUCGUGAGAUGUUGGGUUAAGUCCCGCAACGAGCGCAACCCUUGUCAUUAGUUGCUACAUUUAGUUGAGCACUCUAAUGAGACUGCCGGUGACAAACCGGAGGAAGGUGGGGAUGACGUCAAGUCCUCAUGGCCCUUAUGGGUAGGGCUUCACACGUCAUACAAUGGCGCGUACAGAGGGUUGCCAACCCGCAAGGGGAGCCAAUCCCAGAAAGCGCGUCGUAGUCCGGAUUGUUCUCUGCAACUCGAGAACAUGAAGUCGGAAUCGCUAGUAAUCGCGGAUCAGCAUGCCGCGGUGAAUACGUACCCGGGUCUUGUACACACCGCCCGUCACACCAUGGGAGUGGGUUUCACCAGAAGUAGCUAGCCUAACCGCAAGGGGGGCGGUUACCACGGUGAGAUUCAUGACUGGGGUGAAGUCGAAACAAGGUA